rnacentral:rRNA from 1 species
UGGGGAAUCUUCCGCAAUGGACGAAAGUCUGACGGAGCAACGCCGCGUGUAUGAUGAAGGUCUUCGGAUUGUAAAGUACUGUCAUUGGGGAAGAACGGUUUUCUUGAAAAGGAUUGAGAAGACAUGACGGUACCCAAGGAGGAAGCCCCGGCUAACUACGUGCCAGCAGCCGCGGUAAUACGUAGGGGGCAAGCGUUNUCCGGAAUUAUUGGGCGUAAAGGGCGCGUAGGCGGGCCUUUAAGUCCGGUGUGAAAAGAUCAGGGCUCAACCCUGAGAGUGCAUCGGAAACUGGAGGCCUUGAGGACAGGAGAGGAAACGUGGAAUUCCACGUGUAGCGGUGAAAUGCGUAGAUAUGUGGAGGAACACCAGUGGCGAAAGGCGACUUUCUGGACUGUAAACUGACGCUGAGGCGCGAAAAGCGUGGGGAGCAAAACAGGAUUAGAUACCCUGGUAGUCCACGCCGU